GGUGGCGUGUCCGAGUGGCCGAAGGUGCAGCACUCGAAAUGCUGUGUGCGGCAACGCACCAGGGGUUCAAAUCCCCUCGCCACCG
rfam:Gordonia hirsuta DSM 44140 = NBRC 16056 DNA, contig: GOHST43.